GGGGGCACGGGCAUCUCCGUAGCCCUUUUACCUUUUCACGGUUGGGCAACGCGCCAAGAAAUUUCACCUCCCGCCCCCGCAGUUCCUUCCCCCUCCCGGCGGCGACACCGGCGGCGGUGUCCGACUCCGCCCUCCUCCCGCCGCAGCACCUCCACUCCCCCGCACGUCCUCCCCGUGGCCGGAUUCAUUGUUGGAACCCUAGAAAGGGCUCCGCCUACGGCCUACCGCGGCACGUCGAGGGCGGCGCCUUCUUCCGGCGGCGCACAUUCGCAGCCGCCGUCGGCACCCAGAGAUCCUCCUCCCCUUGACCAUCAUUUCGUGCCUCUCCCCCGAUGAGUCCGGCGCAAUCCGAGCUCCUCCGUGUCAAGUCUCAGCCGCCGGGAGCUCCUCCGCAUGAACUCGAGCGGCUCCGAGAGUUGCGGACUGCCGCUUCCCCGCAGCGGCUGCGUCAUCCAAGAUGCCUCUGCUGUGACGUCGCACGGCCGAGGAGGCGAGGAGCACGAAACUGUGGAAAGGCAACCUUUCGACGCAGGGAUCUCUGAAGUUCAUUUCGAAUUGAAAUAUUCUCCAACACGCGUCAUUCCCUGAUAUAUAUGUGCACUCUAGCAAUUUCGUAAGGUAAGCCGGCGGCUCUCUGAAUGGUGGCAAAUCGACCUUGCCCUGUUGGCAACAUAGUCCGAAAGAUGGCAUCCUUCUCGCUCUACCUGAAGUUCUUUCUUCGUACCAGAAAAUUGCACCACAUCGUUCACACUUGCAGCUUGGUUCUCCGAAGUUCCAAAUUUCCAUAUCAGUCCUUUCCGAUGUCCUGUUCAAGUUUCUGAAUUUAGCAUCAAAUUUUAUAUUAGUAAUGUAUGUUCUCGUUCAUACUAAUAAAACAAACUUAAUAGAGCUUACAUAUCUGGUGUUUUUUUGUUUCUCCUUGACUUUGAUGUAGUACACCUUUUGUUACUUUUAGUCCUGUACACGUGCAUACCAGAAAUAUCAGGUUCAUGAAUGUCCAAAUUUUAGAUGUUGACUGUAUUUUCUUGUUACUUACCUUGUAGUCUUACCAGCCUCGUCGAUCAUUACUUCAUUUUCUGUCGCUGGUUCUGCAACCCUCUUGCUUUGUAUUUUUCUUUUCCUAUACAAUCUUGCCUCUUUAGCUUUGUCCCUGCAUAAACAUAAAUGCCAUUUAGUAGAAAUAAGAGAUGGAAUUUCCGGCAUAAGCAAUACACAUCUGUACAGGACAUGGUUCCUUGUGGCAAUCCAACAAUGUUUUUUUGCCACAGUUUUUGUUUAACCAUAGUCCAUGGAUAUGUGCUAUCAUGAUUCUUUUGUUUAAAAAACAUACUUCGUAGCUACAGUCAGAACCAAUUGUAACAUGUUUUUGUGAUUUAAUAGAGCAAUUUAAAUUAGCUGCACCUGAAGAUAUGGAAAUGCAUGGGCGACCGGGCAUUAUAAGCAUUUGUUUACAGUAAAAUGUUUAAGAUCAAAUUUUACUACAUCAAAUCCACCGAGUUAAUGAAGGGAUUUUUGUAAGCUUUGGAAGAUUUGAGUACAUAGAUAGCAGAACUGAUGUGCAAAGCAGAAGCAAGCUAUAUAAUGUUGUUUCCAGUAUACUGUGGUAGCAGUCGUGCAUCAUUAAUGAUAAAGUUUAGCAAUUGAAUUCAGAGAAGUAAUUAAACCAAAUUGUUGAUAAUACACAUAAGGGCAAAACUCUGAAGAUUUGCUUACUUCACAUGGAUCAGAAGUUGUUCUUCUAGUAUAGUUGCACGGCCUGGCACUUCUCCAUUUAUGAUCGAAGUCUGUCUCAUUUUCUUUGCUUGAAGUUUGAUUCUCCUUUCUAAUCUUGCCAUUUUUGUUGAUUGUCUGAAUUCACAUCAAUGAGAUAAUAAAUUAAAAUAUCAUUUUCCCUGUCCAAGCUAAAAUUAAUUACGAACCCACAUGUGCCUAACGGGAGUUGUUGCAUUUUUAGUUGUAACAUUCUUGUGAUACCACUAAUAAAAGAUUCAUGAUUAGUAAUGGAUCACCUUGUUGGAUUGCAUAUUUGAUUGGUCUUAACCAUCUUGGCAGGUUUCUCACAUUCCUUGCUAUGUGGCCCACCUUUUCUUUUCAUUGUUUCUUCCUGCACAAUAGAGUGCAAAUAUGAUGUUAAAGGGGAUGAUAUUAUAAUAUCAUUACGGACAGUGUCCGACCCAGAAACUGUGGUUUGCUGGGGCGAUGGACGGCAAGUCGGCAACAGAGAUUGAUGUCGAUGCACCCGCUGGUCGCUGGACAGGGGAUUACCCUGCUCCGCCACUUGAGACCUCGGUCGUCCGGCCCUACUUGCCCCAAUGAAGUAAAGGAGAUCAACUUUCAAGACCAGUGAUUGUGCUGAAAGCUUUAAUUUUGAAGAGGAUGUUAAGUUCCAAUCGUCGUGUGAAGACACGAAUAUUGUGAGUAUUUUUUAAUAAAAGGCAACUGAGGCAAUCUCUACCUGAUUAAUGAGGUAUAUAUUCUUGUUGGACCGGGAAUGCCAAUUCUAGGAAUUGUAACAUUUGUGAUGGGCGGCUCAUUUUUUCUCAAUAUUUUCCGGUUAUCCUCAAUAUUUUAAUAAGAUGCUAUUAAACAUAGAAUGAUCUGAAACUUCUGAUUUUUUGUA